rnacentral:miRNA from 1 species
GUUUGAAAUGGUCUCGUUAACU